CUCUCCCUGCGCACGGGGGAAAGUACGGGCGCGUCAGCGGGGCAGCAGGGAAGCGGAGGGGUCGCCAAGGGGAGAGGGCUCAGGGCGCCUACCCGAACUCCAGGUGGCCUCCGGGGAGUUGGAAUGCUCCAGUGACACCUCAUGCUUCCACUAAAUCACCCAAUUUUCUUCACAUUAAUCAUCCCUUGCUGUAAAGUUAAUCACUUGGCAGACAUUCAUACCAGAAAUUAGGCAAAUUAUGAUGUGUUGAAAUGUAAAUAAAUUGAUCACAUGUACAUAAUAAAAUCCUAGAAUA